UACGUAGGGGCAAGCGUUAUCCGGAUUUACUGGGUGUAAAGGGAGCGCAGACGGAACUGCAAGUCUGAUGUGAAAGCCCGGGGCUCAACCGCGGGACUGCAUCGGAUACUGUAGAUCUGGAGUGCCGGAGGGGCAAGCGGAAUUCCUGGUGUAGCGGUGAAAUGCGUAGAUAUCAGGAGGAACACCGGUGGCGAAGGCGGCUAUCUGGACAGUAACUGACGCUGAGGCGCGAAAACGUGGGGAGCAAACAGGAUUAGAUACCCU
rnacentral:rRNA from 1 species